rnacentral:tRNA from 1 species
UGCCCCUUCGUCCAAUUGGCAGGACAGCGGACUUUGGAUCCGCGAAUGGUGGUUCGAGCCCACCAGGGGCAA